rnacentral:rRNA from 1 species
AGAGUUUGAUCCUGGCUCAGGAUGAACGCUGGCGGCGUGCUUAACACAUGCAAGUCGAACGAAGCACUUGAAUGGAAUUCUUCGGAAGGAAGCUUAAGUGACUGAGUGGCGGACGGGUGAGUAACGCGUGGGUAACCUGCCUCAUACAGGGGGAUAACAGUUAGAAAUGACUGCUAAUACCGCAUAAGCACACGUGAUCGCAUGAUCGAGUGUGAAAAACUCCGGUGGUAUGAGAUGGACCCGCGUCUGAUUAGCUAGUUGGUGGGGUAACGGCCCACCAAGGCGACGAUCAGUAGCCGGCCUGAGAGGGUGAACGGCCACAUUGGGACUGAGACACGGCCCAAACUCCUACGGGAGGCAGCAGUGGGGAAUAUUGCACAAUGGGGGAAACCCUGAUGCAGCGACGCCGCGUGAAGGAUGAAGUAUUUCGGUAUGUAAACUUCUAUCAGCAGGGAAGAAAAUGACGGUACCUGACUAAGAAGCCCCGGCUAACUACGUGCCAGCAGCCGCGGUAAUACGUAGGGGGCAAGCGUUAUCCGGAAUGAUUGGGCGUAAAGGGUGCGCAGGCGGCAUAUCAAGUCUGAAGUGGAAGGUACGGGCUCAACCUGUACAGGCUUUGGAAACUGGUAUGCUCGAGGACAGGAGAGGGCGGUGGAACUCCACGUGUAGCGGUAAAAUGCGUAGAGAUGUGGAAGAACACCAGUGGCGAAGGCGGCCGCCUGGCCUGUAACUGACGCUCAGGCACGAAAGCGUGGGGAGCAAAUAGGAUUAGAUACCCUAGUAGUCCACGCCCUAAACGAUGAGGAGCAGGUGUCGGGGGUAGUACCUCGGUGCCGAAGCUAACGCAAUGACUCCUCCGCCUGGGGAGUAUGCACGCAAGUGUGAAACUCAAAGGAAUUGACGGGGGCCCGCACAAGCGGUGGAGUAUGUGGUUUAAUUCGACGCAACGCGAGGAACCUUACCAGCGUUUGACAUCCCAAGAAGUUAACAGAGAUGUUUUCGUGCCUCUUCGGAGGAACUUGGUGACAGGUGGUGCAUGGCUGUCGUCAGCUCGUGUCGUGAGAUGUUGGGUUAAGUCCCGCAACGAGCGCAACCCCUUUCGUAUGUUACCAUCAUUAAGUUGGGGACUCAUGCGAGACUGCCUGCGAUGAGCAGGAGGAAGGUGGGGAUGACGUCAAGUCAUCAUGCCCCUUAUACGCUGGGCUACACACGUGCUACAAUGGGCAGUACAGAGAGUUGCCAACCCGUGAGGGUGAGCUAAUCUCUUAAAGCUGUUCUUAGUUCGGAUUGUACUCUGCAACUCGAGUACAUGAAGUUGGAAUCGCUAGUAAUCGCAAAUCAGCAUGUUGCGGUGAAUACGUUCUCGGGUCUUGCACUCACCGCCCGUCA